CUUCAUUUUUGUUAUACAAUGUACAAUUUCUUUAAGGUGUGAAAGUGAUCUCGACAUACCUCAUAAAAUUCCCUACCUUUAUUCUUACAGGGAUACACAGCUUUACACAUUGCAGCACUUCACGGCCAUCGGCAUAUAGUUGACCUUCUUGUUAAUACGUAUGGAGCAAAGGAGAAUCUGAGGGACUACAGCGGUCGUUUUGCAUAUUAUUACCUCAAUAUACGAGAUACGCAAUCAAACAAUCAAGCCAAUGAAUUUUCUGAUGCCAACGAAUGCCACAGUCUUGUCCAGGCCAGCGAGCGCAGAAACAGAAAGAUUACGUCCCUAUUUCAGUCCAUGAAGAAAUGGGGAUCUGCAGAAGAGCUUGCGCCAGUACCAGAGGAGAGGACAGUUGCUCACCAACUCAUGCUACCUGCAUUUAGGCCCAGAAAGUUCUCACGGUAGACUAGGUGAUCUCCAAAAGCAUUCAGUUCUGCUUUAAUGUCUCUUAGUUUCUUUAUAUAUAAAACUGAACUUGUUUGUACUUUUGUACCAUUUUCAGUUAGGACCAAAAGUCUGAGACUUCUAGCUAAAAUGCUGCCAUUUUGCAUUUGUCUUAUUUAAUACAUUUGAUUACAUCAUAUAUUAUCAGCGUAACACGUAUAGUAAAAAGUUGAAUUGAAAAUUUGACAUGAAUUCCAGAUUAUCCUAGUUUUUGGAAUGUGCCCCUUUAAUGACAGCAUGUACUCCAUACGUUUGCGCAAAACCUGACGAUCAUGUUAUCCAGAAUUAUAUAUAUAUAUAUAUAUAUAUAUAUAGUGGCAAGGAAAUGUUGGUGAGCCCUUAGGGUUAAGCUGGUUUUCUGCAUUAAUUGGUCAUAAAAUGUGAUCUCAUCUUCAUCAAAGUCACAAAGUAUAGGCAAACACGAUGGUGCUUAAGCUAACAACACACAAACAAUUAUAAUCUUUCAUAUCUUUAUUGAACACAUCCCUUUAAACAUUCACAGUGCUGUGGAAAAUGUUACUGAACCCUUGGAUUUAAUAACUGGUCAAUCCUCCUAUGGCAGCAGUAAACUCAACCAAGUGUUUCCGGUAGCUGCAGAUUAGACCUGCACAACGUUCAGAAGGAAUUUUGGACUAUUGUUCCUUACAGAACUGCUUCAGCUCAGCCAUAUUUGUAGGAUGUCUGGUGUGAACGGCUCUCUUGAGGUCAUUCCACAGCAUUUCUGUUGGGUUAAGGUCUGUGCUCUGACUGGGCCACUCAAAAAGGUGGAUUUUCUUUUUUGAAGCCAUUCUGUAGUGGAUUUACUUAAAUGUUUAGGGUCAUUGUCCUGCUGCAUAACUCAGCUUCUACUGAGCUUCAGCCAUCCUGAUAUUAUCCUUUAGGAUUUCUUGAUAAACUUGGGAAUUACAUUUUUCUAUCAAUGAUGGCAAGCGGUCCAGGCCUUGAACAAGCAAUGUAGACCCAAAUCACGAUACCCCCUCCGGCGGUGGCCUUUUAACACGAUACGUAGUGCUGCAUGUUCUUCCUAAAUGUUUAAACCGUGGUUUCUUCAGUCCACAAAACUUUUUUGCAUUGUGGAGUGUCAAGGUGGUCUUUGGCAAACUUCAUGCAGCAAUGUUUUUGUUUGAAGAAAAAAGCAGCGGCUUCCUUCAUGCUGUCCUGCCAUGGCCACCAUACCUGUUUAAUGUUUUCCAUAUUGUAGACUCAUGAACUGAGAUGUUGACCAGUUCCAGUGAUUCCUUCAAGUCUUAAGCUGUCACUCUAGGGUUCUUUCUUUACCUCAUUGAGCAUUCUGCGUUGUGUCUUUUGAGUCAUCUUGGCUGGACGGCCACUUCUAGGGAGAGUAGCCACAGUACUAAAUCAUCUCCAUUUAUAGACAAUUUGUCUAACUGUGGACAGAUGAAUAUCUAAGCUCUUCGAGAUUAAUUUGCAAUCCUGUCCAGCUUUAUAUAAAACAACAAUUCUUGAUCGUAAGUCUUCUGAGAUCUAUUUUUGCAAUGCAUGGUAUACAUUAGCAGAUGCUCCUUGUGAAUAGCAAAUUCAAAAUGUCUGAGUGCUUUUUAAAUGUCAAAGUAGCUCUAACACGCCUCAAAUCUCGUUUCAUUAAUUGGAUGUUAGGUUUGCCAACCCCUAACUCUAAAUAGCUUUUGUUUACAUUAGCCUAGGGGUUCACUUACCUUUUCCAACCUACACUUUGACUGUUUGAAUUAUGUAUUCAGUAUGUUCAAGAACAAUACAAUAAUUUGUGUGUUGUUAGUUAAAACAGAUUGUGUUUGUUCAUUAAUAUAACAUUACAGAUUUUAAGACAAAUUUAGACAUUAUUGCAGAUAAUUCCAAAGGGUUCUCAUACUUUUCUUGCCACUGUAUAUACAGUGGGUUAGGGUUAGAAAAAGUGGCAAGAAAAAGUAUGAGAUGUAUAUUCACUGGCCACUUUAUUAUGUACACCUGUACAUCUACUUAUU